rnacentral:rRNA from 1 species
GACGAACGCUGGCGGCGUGCCUAAUACAUGCAAGUAGAACGCACAGUUUAUACCUUAGCUUGCUACACCAUAGACUGUGAGUUGCGAACGGGUGAGUAACGCGUAGGUAACCUGCCUGGUAGCGGGGGAUAACUAUUGGAAACGCUAGCUAAUACCGCAUAAUAUUGAUUAUUGCAUGAUAAUUAAUUUAAAGGUGCAAUUGCACCACUACCAGAUGGACCUGCGUUGUAUUAGCUAGUAGGUGAGGUAACGGCUCAACUAGGCGACGAUACAUAGCCGACCUGAGAGGGUGAUCGGCCACACUGGGACUGGGACACGGCCCAGACUCCUACGGGAGGCAGCAGUAGGGAAUCUUCGGCAAUGGACGAAAGUCUGACCGAGCAACGCCGCGGGAGUGAAGAAGGUUUUCGGAUCGUAAAGCUCUGUUGUAAGAGAAGAACGGGUGGGAGAGUGGAAAGUUCACACUGUGACGGUAUCUUACCAGAAAGGGACGGCUAACUACGUG